UCUCCCUCUGUUGCCCCUCGGCUGCCCCUCAACGGUCGCCGUUUCGCCCAUUCUUUUUGCCAGGAGAAAAGCCCCAGCAACUGCCUGCUUUCCAUGGCCCGAAAAGCUUUGACGGAGCUUGACAGAGCAAAGGAAAAGAAAUAGGUUCUGUCAGAGGGUCCGGUCCACGGACCUCACCGCUCUCACUCUGGGCGGGAUCGGGCAGCCGUCUGUCUGGUUCCUGGCUUCCCUCAGAGCCCCCGUGGUAGAACCGGCCCAGAUUUUGGCAAAUCGAAGAGAUGAACACUUCGUCGGCCGGUUCCCCUAUUGGCCAGGGUCUCCUUGCCCACCUGCGGGUCUCCCACUCCUCACAGGCCCCUUGAAGGUCCCCAAGCAAAGGGUCUCCAUGAGCAGCCUUACAGUAGCAGCCAAAGGAGCAUCGUUGGAGCGUGUGAAGGACGGAUCAAGGGCUACAGCCCAGUCAAGUGGGGCGGUGGAGAAUCGGAACGAAGCGGCUUCCCACAGAUGCAGAGGUUCACACAGGAUUGAGUAAAUUCACUGGGAACACCA